GGUUGUGUGGCCGAGUCGGUUAAGGCGGUGGACUUAAGUUCCACUGGUGUUAAGCACCUCUUGGGUUCGAAUCCCAACGCAACUA
rnacentral:tRNA from 1 species